UACGUAGGGUCCGAGCGUUGUCCGGAAUUACUGGGCGUAAAGAGCUCGUAGGUGGUUUGUCGCGUUGUUCGUGAAACUCACAGCUCAACUGUGGGCGUGCGGGCGAUACGGGCAGACUAGAGUACUGCAGGGGAGACUGGAAUUCCUGGUGUAGCGGUGGAAUGCGCAGAUAUCAGGAGGAACACCGAUGGCGAAGGCAGGUCUCUGGGCAUUACCUGACGCUGAGGAGCGAAAGUGUGGGGAGCGAACAGG
rnacentral:rRNA from 1 species